UGAAAUAAUGAUAAAGUUAGAAGGUGUUAAUUAUGGUCUAAGCUUCUAUUGAGAAUACAUUGAAUUCGACUUUGGUGCAACAUGAUAUUAGAAAAAAUUGAAACUAAAUGGGACAGAUGAAAAGUAACUGGAAAAUUAUGUUCGUCGGAAAGUUGUCGGAAGCUACGUCAGAAAACUUUGAAGAACAGUUAAGCAUGUAUGUGAAACUGACUAAUUAGAUAGAUUUAGACUUGAGGACGCGAUGACUAAGACGACGCUAGUUGACCGAGGCGGUCUGGGCCGACGACGCCGUCGUCUUUUAUGUGAAGAGUGAUUUAGAUUAUAUGAGGAGACGACGAGUUUUUAUGAAAAGAGAACUUCAUUGUUUAUGCGAUUUUAGUGAGUCAUUUAGGAUUUGUUUCUAUUGUCGCCGAUAAUUCAAGAGAUUAUGGAGGAAAACAACACUUUAGUAGAUAAUAAUUGUUGGUUUGUUAUCCAUAGUACUGCUAACUCAUGGCAUUUGAAUAAGAUUUCCAAUGAUAAAUUGUGAGUUAUAGAUUGCUUCAUGUUGAUUGUACUAAAUAUAGCGCAAGUAUUGACAAAACAUCAUAAAAAUAGCGCACAAAACACGACACGCUUCAAUAAAAUGUAGGUGUUCUUUUUUAAAAGCUGCUUUCUCUAGUUUGGAUUAUAAUUUAACGACGACAUUGUAAAUAUAAAGAAAAAUUUAUCUAAAACAAAAUAAAAACGAAAUUAUUU